rnacentral:lncRNA from 1 species
UAGCGGUAGCGGGGAGGGACGUAGGUAAUUUCCAAAUUAGUUUCCUAGAUGAGUUUCUUGAUAUAAAAUAGACCCAAAUGAUUAUGUAUCAUUCUUUCCAUACAUAUUAAUUUGUAUGUUGUGGUGCUUCCUUCACUAUGUUUAGGUACCAAGGCUGCAUCUGGAAUCCAAUGUUUUACUUACUCAGUGUGCAUGGACUCAUAUUAGUAUGCCGUUGAUUACUGCAACAAGGAGUGCAAAAUACUUGGUUAUGACGGCCAGAAAGGCUACUGCAAGAAGGAGAAUCGUGGCGUGUGUUGUUGUGCCUAAAGUUAAAGACAUGUUAUAUUGUCAUUUUGUAGAAAAUCAUUACAUGUAUUUGCGUUUUAGGAUACUAAUUUAUAUAGAUUAUACGAGAAUUUCAAUAACAUAUACUGGUAGUUGCUUCCGAAGACCAACUUGACUAGCCGAUCAACUCUUCAGGUCAUAUGAAUCAACAAUGAGCCAGCUAAAAACUGGAAGUACUGAUAACUUAAAAAUUUAAAUUGGGGAGUGAAUUAAUGGAAAUAUUAGAUAAAUUCAUUGGGUAUAUGAAAAUUUGUCAUUCAACGAUGCUAGUUAAUACCAAUUGAUGGAUGUACAACUCAAAAAAAGUCCAUAUUUGAACCCUAGACUAUCACAAAUGUCUAAGAACCAACCCCAAACUUUGAAACAAUCUAUCUUGCAAUUCUAAAUUGUCAAAGUCGAUCAACAUUCGACGUUUCCUCUCCUCAAACCGAUAUUUGGUGCGUUGAAGUGGUUUGGAACAAUUGAUCGCCUAGUCGGCUGCCAUGUCACUUAAUAUUUUUCCUGAAUAUGUAUUUUAUUGCAUGUUAUAAUCUAUUUGGCGGGAUCGACCCUAUAGUUGAUGUAACAUCCCAAAAUUCUAAAUUUUGGAAUGUUAUAAUAAAUAGAUUGAUUGAUUGAUUGUUUGAUUGAUUGUGUGAAAUUGAGUGGAAUUCGAAACUUUUGAAAGUUAAAUGAGAGGGAAUAAAAGGACUUUCCCAAACUUUCAUAUUUACUUUCUGAUCUCCUUGAAUUCAAAUUAUUUUCAAAUACAAAACCCUUGAGCGAAGAUGAUAUGACUUCUUCCAUUUAAAUUAAAUGAAAGGGUAUUUGAAAAUAAUUGUAUUUCAUUUGGAAAAUAUUUCCAAUUCAGAAACUUUAAGGAACUCAAUAUUUUCACGAGAGAAGAUAAAAUGACUUCUUCAAAUUAUAUGAAAUAUGAGUUGGGAGUUUCAAAGAAUUAAAUUCAAAGUUCUUUUGAAUUUAUUUUCAAUUUGGAGUUAUUUGAGUUUUAUUCAAAUUAUUUUUCUCCAAAAAACUAAAAUAUAUGGAAAAUAGGGUAACAUGAUUCCCUACAUCAGAAAAUUGGAGAUAAAUAAAUUUGAAUUCAUUUUGGUAUUUUUAAAAUGAUUUUUGUUGGAUUUUAAUAGACCAGUAGCACUCUUUGAAUUAUUAGAAUUUGUGUGUAUUUUAUUUAAUGCUAGAAAAAUGGCCAUGUUGUUGGAAAUCUUUUUCUGAAAAUUUUGAUAUAUUAUUUGCCUAUAUAAAAUUUUUAUUUAUUCUCUUUUGUUUAUUUUUCUUUGUCUGUUAAAAUGUAAAAAAAAUCUCCUCCGCCACCGAACUGGGCCGGCCCAACAGGCCAUGGCCCAGCCAGCCCGCGCCGCCACCGCCUAGCUCCCGCCGUGCCCGACAGGGACUCGCUGGAGUCCGGCCCCUCCACGGCGCCCGUCGCCCCUCCUCCACGCCACCACCUCCCCUCCCCUCUUAUAAAGCCGCGCCGCCCCUCUCCCCUCGCGCCGCCGCCUCCUCCCGCAGUCGCCGCCGUCGUGGUCAACCGCCGCCACCGCUCGCAUCUAGCGCCACCGCCGCCCAACACCCUCGCCACCACUCGCCGCUGCUGCAGCAGCUGCUGCUGCUGCCGCCGCUUACGCCGUCGCCUUGCCCCGCGCCGCCCGACGCGGCGCAAGUGGCUCCCGCACCACGCCGAAGCCACCGCGCCGCCAUCCCGUCUCGCCGGAGUAACCACCGCCGUCGCCGGUUCUUUUGGGUGAACCGGUAUAAACUGUAACCCGCCCGGUUUUUUUUUCUAGUUUAGAUCGGUUAUUUUUUUUGGGUUAAGUUAUUUUGCGAACAUUCACUGGUUAGGUAUACUCAGCAAACGACUUUUGUUCUUUAGCGUUCUUUAACGAACGUUCACUUUUUAGUUUUUUUCUUUUUCUGAUAUUUUUCAGACAGGGACCUAUUGGUAGUAUUUUCUUUUACAGAUUAGUCCCUCUACUUCAAACGUCUACAACUUUUUACUCGUUAGUCCAAAUCCAACGAAACCAACACUCACGUCUUCGUUAUGAUCCCCUCUAUCCAUUAAACCAACUCAAACAUGUUUUUGAAAAUUUUAAUAUUUGAAUUAGAUUAGAUUUGAAUUCAAACUUCGUUUGAUCAUAGCUUGAGUUCCGUAGCUCCGUUUGAGUUGAUUCUUUUUGCAAAUCGAAGCUCUUGACCUAAAUUUUCUGAUAAGGCCAAAUUCAUAUAAUUUUGGUACUGUUAGAAAUUGUUUUAUGUUGCAAGAGUUAUUUGCUUGGAUUUGAUAUUUUCCGAAUCGUUUUCUUUGAUAUUUCUGAUCUUUUGAGUGAUUGCUUAUGUGUGGUUACUAUUGCUUGCUUACGAUAGAUUGACCGGAGUGUGACGAGUAGAGCUAUCAAGAGUUUUGAGUGCGAUUCAUCUUCAUCAACAUUGCAGGCAAGUUCACACUUUGAUCAUACCUCCUACUACCCAGUUUUAUUGCAUUAGAUCAAUCCUCAAACAUUGCAUGAUUAGGAUCUAAUUAAAUUGUGGGAUGGGAAGUAGUUGAGGUAGUACAUAUUACCUGUUUGUUAUCAAACCCAUGGGAGUUACUAUUAUGUUAUGCUUAUAGUGCCAUGCUAUGCUCGUAGACGUGGAUUGGGUUUUGAGAGUAUCCAUGACAGAUGUGAGAUUGUUAAUUAAUGGUUUACUUAAGGUGGCAACUUAAACACACAUCUGGGUGGACUGAGGCACCUGGUUAUUCUAGGAUUGCCUGUCUAGGCACCUGGGUAAUCCAGGACUUGCCUGUUUUCUUUUGGACCGCCACCCAGGCUCAAAGGGAUCAUGAGACUAUUCAUACUAGAAACUUCCGUGUGCAGCCACAAGCUAUUAUGGGCUCUAGCAUAGUUGACUAAGUUGUGCGAACUCUUACAGUGGUAGACUAGCAGAUGUAGGGAAUGUAGGUGGUAUGGUCUACCCGAUCGUAAGGUGCUAGCGCUUCUGAAAGACUAUGUCUCGGUCAUCCGUUUCUCAAACACCAUGUAGUGCGAGAAAUCCAACGGAGGCGAUCGAGUCUUGUGGGGAAAAGUGCGCAAACCUCUGCAGAGUGUAUAAACUAAACAUGAUUAGCCGUGUCCCCAGUUAUGGACAUCUUGAGUAUCUAGUUCUUGGAUUAUCUUGUUGAUCUCAUCAUGUUACUUUAAUUGGGAUUGAGAAUGCUGUCAACCAUUCUCAAUGUUCAACAACCACCAUGAUAGUUAAAUAAAUUUAUUCCUUUGCAGUAGGGAAAAAUUGGCUUUUCGCAAAACCUUAUAACCAUAGAGCUUUUCCACCAGCCAUAUAUGCAUGUAGUGAUAGCCUUUAUUCAUCAUUCUCUAUGGUGUGAAUUUGCCAGUACAUUCAAUGUACUCACCCUCUGUGGCUGCAACGUCUCAUGUUGCAGGAUUACUUACGACGAGUAAGUGAUACGUUAGGGUUACGAUUUCUACACUCAACUUUUCCGUUGGUGUUGAUGGGAAUCCACAACCUUGUUACUUCCGCUAUUUUGGAUUGAGGUAAUAGUAUUUACGUUACUUAUACAUGUGAUUUACCACUGUUAUAAAUCCUCGAGUACUAUGUGUCAGCAUACCGAUCCAGGGAUGACGCUUAAGCACAGAGACUUGAUCCAUUCGGGUCGGGUCGCUAUAGUUGAGAAAUAAUCAGAUAAUAGCAAUGGGCAUUCAAUGGCUACAACUCUUAUAUCCCAAAGAUAUAGGAUCCGGGCUACCAUACUAAACUUUUCUGUCACUAGUAUUCAGAAUAGCACUUCAUGGUCUACCUGCUGUUAGCCUCUCUCUGACUCACUCUCUGUGAUCCUAGGUACCUGCAAGGACGAAGAAUGUAGAUGAGACAAGAGACAUCCAUGAAGCAAUUUUAUGUUACACAUACGGGACAAAUUCAAAGUACUUUCAUAAAUCCCUCCAAUAAAUACAUAGGGUUGUAGGGCUAUGCCUCAACCCAUGACGAUACCUUAGAUAUGGAGAACAGAUCACAAGUACAAUCCAUCAAAGAACACAUCAUGAAUAUUGAUUGAUAAUAUGUCUUACAAAAAUUGCCGGAUGUGAUAUAUGAUUACAAAGUAUGGCUAGUUGGAUGAUUGCUUGGUGGGUGGAGAUGGUGGCGGCUAUGGAAAUGAGAUGGGAAAUGGCGGUGUCUAGGGAUAAUUUGGAUGAUGAAGAUUGAGGUUUGGGCGAUGCUGUAUUUCUAUUAUGGGAUUGAGCCCUUCAUGGUAUAUAUUUGUAGGGUUGGUCCAAGAGACCUUUAGCAGUCCAUAUGUUAGCUCAUACGAGUGUGUGCGGUCGUAUGGAACAUCAUCUUGCUUUGUUCUUCCUGGAGUGUCUCCCACUUGAUCUCCUCUAUAUCCUCUUUACUCCCUUCCAUGUGUUGGCUUGAUUUCCUCCAUAUUUAACCCAUUUCCUAUGGAAAUAAAAUAAAGAUCGGACAUUUGGAAUCCUUUGCAUUGAUUAGUCGUUUGUAGUAAUAUCAGAGUGAACAUCUUGGUUUUUAAGAAAUAUAUCGGUUUAUGCUCAUGUAUCACGAGUGCAAGAACAACAAUUGUCAACUGCACCGAGCUUAGACUUGAUCAUCCUCGACCAACGUAGAGGAAAAUCUAAAACGUAAGGAACUCAGUUGUUUACACCAAAUAAACAAUUAGGUUUUGCUUCACUUAUGAUCAGCACACCUAGAUAACCCUACACUUCUUGACUUCUAAACUUAGUAUAGGUAUAGCGGUGACAUGGUUAUAAUGCAAGUGUUAGCGAAGCAAAGAUUGUAGCGACCCGACGUCAGAUGGUCAAGUCUCUGUGCUUCAGUGUCAUCCCUGGAUCGCUAAUGCUGACACAAACAGUACUCGAAGGAUUUAUAACAGAGUAGCAAUCACACACUAUUACAUCGAAUCUCUCCAAAGAGAACUUAUUACAAUAAUAUGGCUUAAGGCCAUCUAAUGCGAUAACAGCGGAAGGCUUGGAAGAUAAGGUGAGUCCAUCAACUCCAACUCAUCGUCUGAAAAGUCUGCAACAUAAUACGUUGCAGCCCGAAAAUGGGUCAGCACAUGGAAUAUGCUGGCAAUAUAACACAAUAGAGCAGAAACAGAAUAAUGCUAUGGCUACCUGCAUAUAUGGCUGGUGGAACGUUGUAUGGUUGUAGUUUUGCGAAAAGCCAAAUUUUCCCUACAACAACGGAAUAUAUUUUAACUUUACUAUCAUGGUGGUUGAAACAUCAUUGAGAAGGUAUCCCCAACUCAAUCCCAAUUAAAGUGAAUUAACAUCCCAAUAGUAUUAAUUAAACAUGGUGAGAUACAUGUGAUAACCCAAGUACUAGAUACUCAAGAAUUGUCCAUAGCCGGGGACACGGCUAACCAUGAUUAGAUUGUACACUUUGCAGAGGUUUGCACACUUUUCCCCACAAGACUCGAUCGCCUCCGUUGGAUUUCUCGCACUACAUGGUGUUUGAGAAACGGAUGACCGAGACACAGUCUUUCAGAAACGUUAACUCUCUACUCCGGGUAGACCAUACCAAACCUACAAAACCCACUACCUGCUGAUCUACCUCUUCAAGAGCUUCACGUAACUUACUUAACUAUGCUAGAGCCCAUAAUAGCUUGUGGCUGCACACGGAAGUUUCUAGCAUGAAUCAUCUCAGUUCCCUUUGAGCCUGGGUGGCGGUCCAUAGGAAGAUCACACGGGUACCCUAGGAUUUCCAAAAAAACAGACAACACUGGGUUCCCCAGGUGCCUCAAUCCACCCAGUUGUUUGAUUAAGUUGCCACCUUAAGUUGAACCAUUAAUUAACAAUCUCACAUCUGACAUGAAUUUCACUUAAACCAAAACCACAUCUACGAGCAUAGCAUAGCAAUAUAAGAAAUACAUAGAAGUAACUCCCAAGGGUUUGAAUAUAAUAGGGCAAUAGGUUCUACCUCAGCAACUACUUCCCAACCCACAAGUUAAUGACAUCCUAAUCAUGCAAUGUUUGAAGAUUGGAACUAAUGUAUAAAAACUGGGUAAUAAUGCGAUAUGAUGAAAGUGUUACUUGCCUUGCUGACGAUCCGCGAGUCCUAGAGACUCGUAGUAACACGCUUCAAACUAUCGCAAGCAAACAAUAACAUACAUAAGUAACAAGCAAUGAUGCACAAAAAAAACUCAAAUAAAAGAGGUUGACCAGAAAGUUCAAAUUAAGAACUCCGGUUCGCAAAAAGAAUCAAAACAAACGGAGCAAUGAAACUCAAAUGGCGAAAGAAAGAAGCUUAGUUUACUAAUCUGAAACUAGGUCAAAUUUUACAUUAGCAAAACUUCUUUGAGUUGGUUAAACGGAAAGAGGGUUUCGAGAAGAAACUCCAGGCGCUUGAAUCGCCUGAUUCCGUUAAACGAGCGAAAAGAUAAACAGAAACUAAGAUCGGAUUAGAAAGCACGAUCAGAAAAAUCGCGGAAUAAAUCUGAUAAAAGAAAACUCACGAACAGACUAAUGAAUGAGCGUUCGUUACCUGUAACUAACGGGCGAAAACUGUUCGUUAAGACGAACAUCCGCUAACUGGAAGAACCGAGAAAAACCGGCGAAUCCAAAAAACAACGGAUCUAGGGAUUCUGAAAAAAAUAGAAUGGUUUUUAUUUAAAAAAACCGGCGGUGGGGCGCGGUGGCUACCUCCGGCGAGAGGGCUCCGGCGAGGCGGGGCAACGGCUCGCGAGGGCGGCGGGGCUUGGCGGCGGCGGCUGCGCGAGGAGGCGGCGGCUGCGGGCGGCAGGGUUGGCGGCGGUGGUGUUGGUGUUGGGGCGGGGGUGGCGGCGUAUAUAAAGGGGCGGGGGCGGCGACUUGGAGGAGGGGGCAAGGUGCGACGGCUGCGAAGUCCAACUCGGACUCCGAUCCGAGUGGCGGCGGCGGCGGCAGCGCGCGCGCAGGAGCCGGCCUGGCGCAGCUGGGCCUUAGGCCCGGUCGGCGUGGAACCCCUUUUUUUUAAACUUCGCCGACCGAAAUAAAAUCCUAGAAAAAAAACCUAAAAAUUCCAAAACAAUUUUUCACCAUCUAAAUAAAAUAUUUAGAACAAGAUGAACAUUUUCUUGGCCCUAAAAUGCAAUUUUGAAAAACAUGCAAUUUUUCUAAUGCAAAUAAAAUCUGAAUAAAAUCCAAUAAAAAUCAAUUUAAUGAUUUUAAUAUUUUUCCUACAAUAUUUCAUUUAUUUUGGAGAAGUCAUAUUAUCUCCUCUCUUUAAUUUUUAAUGUGAAAUAUUUUUCAGAGAGAAAUAAUUAAAAUCAAAUCCUCUUUUCAUUAUUUGAUAAAAGAAUCAAAUAUGAAGACCGGGAAAUCCCCAACUCUCUCCGAGGGUCCUUGAGCUGCUUAGGAUUUCGAGGAUUACGGAACGGAAAUGCAAUAAUACAUGAUAUGCAUGGAUGAUCUAUGUAUAACAUUCCAAAUUGAAAAUUUGGGAUGUUACAAACCUGCCCCCCUUAAGAUGAAUCUCACCCUCGAGAUUCGGGUUGGCUAGAAAAUAGGUAUGGGCGGUCCUUGCGGAGAUCAUCCUCUCGUUCCCAGGUAGCUUCAUCCUCGGGAUGGUGGCUCCACUGAACUUUACAAAACUUGAUAACCUUACUGCGGGUGACUCUGCUGGCAAUCUCAAGAAUCUUAACUCGCUUCUCCUCGUAAGUCAAAUCACUGUCUAACUGAAUCGCCUCCAAGGGUACUGUAUCUCUUAAUGGUAUUUCCGCCAUCUCAGCAUGAUACUUCUUCAACUGUGAAACGUGGAACACAUCGUGGACUCCUGACAAUCCCUCAGGUAACUCCAACUUGUAGGUGACUUCUCCCAUCCGUUCCAAAAUGCGAUACGGUCCUACAAAUCUCGGGGCUAACUUUCCUUUAACUCUAAAACGUUUCACUCCUCGCAAGGGCGAUACUCACAGAUAUGCUCUAUCUCCAAUUUCGUAGGUUACCUCCUUGCGUUUUGAGUCUGCGUAACUCUUCUGCCUGGACUGAGCAAUCUUCAGUCACUCUUGGAUCAGUUUUACCUUCUCCUCAGAUUCUUUAAUCAAGUCUGGUCCAAACAACUGUCGGCCUCCUACCUCAUCCCACAUCAACGGUGUUCCGCACCUGCGUCCAUACAGGGCUUCAAACAGUGCCAUCUUGAAGCUGGCUUGGUAGCUAUUAUUGUAUGAGAACUCUGCAUACGGCAAAUUGUCAUCCCAACUGGAUCCAUAAUCCAGCGCAGAGGCUCUCAACAUGUCCUCCAAAAUUUGAUUGACUCUCUCAAUCUGUCCAUCUGUCUGCGGGUGAAACGCUGUACCGAACUCCAAUCUCGUUCCCAAAGUCUGGUGUAACCGAUGCCAAAACUUUGAAGUAAACUGUGUUCCUCGAUCCGAUACAAUGGUCCUCGGAACUCCAUGCAAACAUACGAUCCUGGACAUAUAGAUCUUGGCCAACUUUGCACUUGUAUAGGUGGUUUUCACUGGGAUGAAGUGAGCUACUUUGGUCAAACGAUCAACUACUACCCAUAUGGAAUCAUAUCCUGCUUUAGUCCUGGGUAAUCUGGUGAUAAAGUCCAUGGCAAGUUUAUCCCACUUCCAUUCGGGUAUCGGCAUAGGCUGUAACAGUCCUGCUGGCUUUUGAUGUUCAGCCUUAACUCUCUGACAUACAUCACAUACGGCUACAUAGUCGGCAAUAUCCUUCUGCAUACCAGUCCACCAGGAACUUUCCUUCAAAUCCAAAUACAUCUUGGUGUUUCCGGGGUGUAUCGAGUAUGGUGAGUCAUGGGCCUCUUGAAGUAUUAACUUCCUGAUCUCCUGGUUGUUGGGCACAUAAACUCGGUCCUCAAACCAUAGGGUAUCGUGCUCAUCCUCACAAAAACCUUUGGCCUUUCCUUUGCCCAUCUUCUCCUUUAUCCCGACAAUCUCUUUAUCAUCUUUCUGAGCUUCCCGAAUCUUGUCUAGUAGUGUCGACUGAACCUCCAUUGUGGCAAUGAACCUUCUAGGUACAAUCUCUAACCGAAGUUCCAUGAUGUCCUUUGCUAAUUCCUUCGGCAGUCCUUUACUUUCAAGGGUAUUAGCAUAACUCUUCCGACUCAAUGCAUCUGCUAAGACAUUGGCCUUUCCUGGAUGAUAGUGUAGCUUCAUGUCAUAAUCCUUUAUAAGCUCCAACCAUCUCCUCUGCCUAUGGUUCAGCUCCUUCUGAGUGAAGAUGUACUUCAAACUCUUGUGAUCCGUGUACACAUCACAACGGUUUCCAAUAAGGUAAUGUCUCCAAGUCUUCAAUGCAUGCACUACGGCUGCUAGCUCCAAAUCAUGCGUGGCAUAAUUCAACUCAUGAGGUUUUAGUUGUCGUGAGGCAUACGAAACAACUCUUCCAUCCUGCAUAAGCACACAUCCAAGUCCUAAGCGAGAGGCGUCGCAAUACACUUGGAACUCCUUAUGUAUAUCUGGCAGUACUAGCACUGGGGCUGUAUUCAAACGUUUCUUCAACUGCUGGAAACUUGCUUCACAAUCUUCUGUCCAUUUAAACUUGGUAUCAUUCUUCAACAGUUAAGUCAUUGGUUUUGCAAUCUUGGAAAAAUUCUCAAUGAAUCUCCGGUAGUAUCCUGCGAGUCCAAGAAAACUACAGAUCUCGCUAACUGAGGUGGGUGCCAACCAUUCAGUGACUGACUGAACCUUGCUAGGGUCUACUGCUAUACCUUCUCCUGAUAUAACAUGUCGAAGGAAUCCAACUUCCUUCAGCCAAAACUCGCAUUUUCUAAACUUAGCAUACAACUGGUGUUCCCUGAGCUUCUCGAGAACUAAACGAAAAUUCUCUUUGUGCUCCUCCUCGUUCUUCGAGUAUACCAUGAUAUCAUCAAUAAACACCACAACAAACUUGUCCAAAUACUCCAUGAACACCUUGUUCAUCAUGCUCAUGAAAUAGGCAGGGGCGUUAGUCAGUCCAAACGACAUGACCGUGUACUCGUAUAAUCCAUAUCGCGUUGUGAACGCCGUCUUUGGUAUGUCCUUCUCUCGUAUCUUCAACUGAUGAUACCCCGGUCACAAAUUGAUCUUCGAAAACACUUUAGCUCCUUGCAACUGAUUAAACAGAUCGUUGGUCAUCGACAGUGGGUACUUGUUCUUAAUCGUCACUUCAUUCAAUGCUCGAUAAUCAACAACCAUCCUCAGGGAUUUAUCCUUCUUCUCAACCAAAAGUACUGGGGCUCCCCAAGGUGAUGAACUUCUUCGGAUAUAUCCUUUCUCCAAUAACUCCUUGAUCUGUUUCUUAAUUUCUUCCAGUCAUUUGCGGGCAUCCGAUAGGGUCUCUUGGAUAUUGGUCCUGUUCCUGGUAACAACUCUGUCAAAAACUCAAUAUCUCUGUCUGGUGGCAUGCCUGGUAACUCCUUUGGGAAAACAUCCGGGUAAUCCUUCACUACAGGCAUUUCCUCCUGAACAACUCCCGUAAGGGCAUUCACUGGACUCUUCCUAGGCACAUGCCUAGAUACAUACUUAAUCCUUCUUCCUUCCGGGGUGGUGAGAUAAAUCGACUUACUAGCGCAGUCAAUGCUUCCUCCAAACUUUGACAUCCAGUCCAUACCCAAUAUCACAUCCAAUCCUUGUGACUCCAGAUAAUUAGGUCGGACAGAAAAACAUGUGUACCAAUGGUUAAGGGUAUCUGGUCACACCAUCGGCUAGCCAUAUACUCUGCUCCGGGUGAACUCACUAAGAGAGGGGUCCUAAGGGUUUGGCUUUGUAGUUUAAACUUAUCCACGAAUCCCCUUGAUAUGUAUGAAUGCGAUGCACCAAUAUCGAAAAGAACAAGAGCGGUAAAUGACUUAACCAAAAACUUACCUAUUACCGCGUUCGGCUGCUCUUCAACCUCCUCCACAUUAACAUGGUUCACUUGUCCUUUGUUGAAUGGAUUGGGCUUCUUCCCAGUGCUUCCAUUUCUGUUUCCAUUCCUUCCUUCGGGGCAAUCGUUGGCAUAGUGCCCUGUCUUCCCGCACUUAAAACAGGUAACCUGACUUAAGUCUCUUUUAGCGGGAGUGGACGGGUUGGAGCAGUUCUGAUUGUUGUUAUCUCCGUUCCCAUUCCCAUUCUUAGCACCACUAUGGUUAUGUGAUCCUCCUCCAGUGUGGUUGUGACCUCCAUGGUUGUGAACAAGUCCUCCCGUGUUCGGGGUUAGGCGAGGCUUCUGCUGAGCUCCUGAGUUAUACUUCCCUUGUCCAUACUUUCUCUUGCGGCUCUCAAUCUGUUUCUGUUUCCCUUAAAUCAUAAGAGCCUUAUCUACCAACUCAUGGUAGUUGUUGAAGGUUGCUACCAUCAACUGCAUGCUCAUCUCAUCAUUCAUCCCUUCCAUAAACUUCUCCUGCUUCGCGGCAUCUGUGGCCACAUCAUCAGGGGCGUAGCAACAUAACUUGCUAAACUCAUCCACGUACUGAGCCACAGUACGGUUCCCCUGGCAUAAGUUGCGGAACUCCCGCUUCUUCAUUUGCAUAGCUCCAGUGGAGACAUGGGCUGUGCAGAAAGCUUGCUGAAACUGGUCCUAAGUGACAUUGGCUAUAGGAAAAGUGGCUGUGUAAUUCUCCCACCAUGAGGCUGCUGGUCCAUCCAAUUGAUGUGCGGCAAAGCGCACCUUCUCAGCAUCUGUGCAACCUGCGGUGUUCAACUCCCUUCAAAUUCGGCGUAGCCAAUCAUCAGCAACUAUAGGCUCGAUGCUACUGGAAAACAGAAGCGGUUGUAACCUUGGAAUCCACUGGCGGUGGGUUGUUGUUGUUGUUUUUGUUGUUGUUGUUGUUGUUGUUGUUGUUGUUGCCCUGGUUCUAAACUAGCAAUUGCAUCAAGGCAUUCUACGCUGGAUCAACUGGGUGAGCUCCGGUGGGAAGGCAAAACCGGUGUCACGUCUCGGAGGCAUCUGAGGGGUUUAGAUGGGAGAGAUUUAGAAUAGAAGAGGUCUAAUGAGAAAACACUACCCAUAUGCACAUGAGGCAAACACAAUCAUUUCACUCAAUCAAUCAAGCAAGGGCAUACAAACGGUCUAGAACUAUCGCAAAAGUGCUCACUACUACUAUACACAUGGGGGAAAUACUACUAAUAUAUGGUAGUCAUCUAGAAAUUUUGAUCGGUGGAAGACUCCAUGAUGUCUGCUCCAGCUUCGUCUUCAAAGUCAUCAUCACUAGGGUUGGAGUCGGUGUCGUCGAUGAUGAUGUAGUCCUCGGGGCGUAUUUACUUGGGUUCUUCUUCUUCUUCUAUUGGUGCUGGUCCUCCCAUGAAUACUUUGAUCUUCUUGACUAAGUCGUCAUUCUUCUCCAGUAGGGUCUUGAUUUCCUCCUCAUAUCCAUCGCGGGUAAACUUGAGUUCUUCCUCCUGCUCGAUGAUCCUAGUCCUCGCCUUCUUCAAGUCCAUCAUGUCCGCACACAUCUAGUUCUCCUGACGUCGAAUGUGCUGGUUUAAUUCCUGGAUGAAAGCUGCAAUGGAUCUAUCCUUCCUGGUGUUGAUUACUUCCCAUUGCUCAUCUCGGCGCCCACAUAUUUGGUAAAUAGUGUACUUAAGCUCCUUGUUGUAAACUUCUCCAAUGCGUCCCAUGGUUAUGUGAGCUGCCAUACUCUUUCAUAAACACCAGGUUGGUGCGUCGAAGGAAAAUUCUAUGGGUUUAGAAGUUGGCGAGAAUGUCCUUCCUGGAACUUGUACUUGAAUCAUCCAGUGCUCCUCUUCAGGUAAAGUGGUGUUGUACGUCCGGUGAAGCUUGGUAUUCCAAUGUUCAAGUACCUAGUGACUUCCUUCAAGUGGCGUCCAAAAGGUGUGUCUUCAUCCGGUUGUGCAAAUUUGUUCUUCAUCUCCGUCAUCCUAAAGAGUAGAAAAUGGAGAGGAGUCAGAAAUGAGAAGAGAAGUGUGACCUAGGGUUUAUCUUAGGGGUCGUGUCCUACACUCAACAUGUGCUCUGAUACCAUCUUGUAGCGACCCGACCUCAGAUGGUCAAGUCUCUGUGCUUCAGUGUCAUCCCUGGAUCGGUAAUGCUGACACACACAAUACUCGAAGGAUUUAUAACAGAGUAGAAAUCACACACUAUUACAUCAAAUGUCUCCAAGGAGAACUUAUUACAAUAAUAUGGCUUAAGGCCAUCUAAUGCGAUAACAGUGGAAGGCUUGGAAGAUAAGGUGAGUCCAUCAACUCCAACGGCAUAGCUGAGCUGCACGGCAACGACCUAACGAACCUUACUCCUCGUCUGAAAAGUCUGCAACAUAAUACGUUGCAGCCCGAAAACGGGUCAGCACAUGGAAUUUGCUAGCAAUAUAACACAGUAGAGCAGAAACAGAAUAAUGCUAUCACUACAUGCAUAUAUGGUUGUAGUUUUGCGAAAAGCCAAUUUUUCCCUACAACAACGGAAUAGAUUUUAAUUUUACUAUCAUGGUGGUUGAAACAUCAUUGAGAAGGUAUCCCCAACUCAAUCCCAAUUAAAGUGAAUUAACAUCCCAACAGUAUUAAUUAAGCAUGGUGAGAUACAUGUGAUAACCCAAGUACUAGAUACUCAAGAAUUGUCCAUAACCGGGGACACGGCUAACCAUGAUUAGAUUGUACACUCUGCAGAGGUUUGCGCACUUUUCCCCACAAGACUCGAUCGCCUCCGUUGGAUUACUCACACUACAUGGUGUUUGAGAAACGGAUGACCGAGACACAGUCUUUCAGAAAUGUUAACUCUCUACUCCGGGUAGACCAUACCAAACCUACAAAACCCACUACCUGCUGAUCUACCUCUUCAAGAGCUUCACGUAACUUACUCAACUAUGCUAGAGCCCACAAUAGCUUGUGGCUGCACACGGAAGUUUCUAGCAUGAAUCAUCUCAGUUCCCUUUGAGCCUGGGUGGCGGUCCAUUGGAAGAUCACACGGGUACCCCAGGAUUUCCAAAAAAACAGACAACACUGGGUUCCCCAGGUGCCUCAAUCCACCCAGUUGUUUGAUUAGUUGCCACCUUAAGUUGAACCAUUAAUUAACAAUCUCACAUCUGACAUGAAUUUCACUUAAACCCAAACCACGUCUACGAGCAUAGCAUAGCAAUAUAAGCAAUACGUAGAAGUAACUCCCAAGGGUUUGAAUAUAACAGGGCAAUAGGUUCUACCUCAGCAACUACUUCCUAACCCACAAGUUAAUGACAUCCUAAUCAUGCAAUGUUUGAGGAUUGGAGCUAAUGCAUAAAAACUGGGUAGUAAUGGGACAUGAUCAAGGUGUUACUUGCCUUGCUGACGGUCCGUGAAUCCUGGAGACUCGUAGUUACACGCUUCGCACUCCGGGAAUUCUAUCGCAAGCAAACAAUAACAUACAUAAGUAGCAAGCAACGAUGCACAAGCAAAACCCAAAUAAAAGAGGUUGACCAGAAAGUUCAAAUUAAGAACUCCGGUUCGCAAAAAGAAUCAAAACAAACGGAGCAACGAAACUCAAACAGCGAAAGAAAGAAGCUUCGUUUACUAAUCUGAAAAUAGGUCAAAUUUUACAGUAGCAAAACUUGUUUGAGUUGGUUAAACGGAAAGAGGGUUUCAAGACGAAACUCCAGGCGCUUGAAUCGCUAUGAUUCCGUUAAACGAGCGAAAAGAUAAACAGAAACUAAGAUCGGAUUAGAAAUCACGAUCAGAAAAAUCGCGGAAUAAAUCCGAUAAAAGAAAACUCACGAAUAGACUAACGAACGAGCGUUCGUUAGCUGUAACUAAUGGGCGAAAACCGUUCGUUAAAAUGAACAUACGGACGAACGUCCGCUAACUGGAAGAACCGAGAAAAACCGGCGAAUCCGAAAAAAAUGAAUCUAGGGUUUCUGAAAAAACCGAACGAUUUUUAUAAAAAAAACGGCGGCGGGGCGCGGUGGCUACCUCCGGCGAGAGGGCUCCGGUGAGGCGGGGCAGCGGCUCAUGAGGGCGGCGGGGCUUGGCGGCAGCGGGGGGGCUUGGCGGCUAGCGCGGGCGGCGGCGACUGCGAGCGGCAGGGUUGGCGGCGGCGGUGCUGGUGUUGGGGCGGGGGUGGCGGCGUAUAUAAAGGGGCGGGGGCGGUGACUUGGAGGAGGGGGCAAGGCACGGCGGCUGCGGAGUCCAACUCGGACUCCGGUCUGAGUGGCCGCGGCGGCGGCAACACGGGCACGCAGGAGGCGGCGACGGCGGCCUAGCGCGGCUGGGCCAUAGGCCCAGUCGGCGCGGAACCCCUUUUUUUAAAACAUCGCCGACCGAAAUAAAAUCCUAGAAAAAAAUAAAGAAAAAACUAAAAAAGCCAAAACAAUUUUUCGCCGUCUAAAUAAAACUUUUAGAACAAGAUGAACAUUUUCUUGGCCCUAAAAUGCAAUUUUGCAAAACAUGCAAUUUUUCUAAUGCAAAUAAAAUCCGAAUAAAAUUCAAUAAAAAUCAAUUUAAUGAUUUUAAUAUUUUUCCUCAAAUAUUUCAUUUAUUUUGGAGAAGUCAUAUUAUCUCCUCUCUUUAAUUUUUCAUGUGAAAUAUUUUUCAAAGAGAAAUAAUUAAAAUCAAAUCCUCUUUUCAUUAUGAAGACCGGGAAAUCCCCAACUCUCUCCGAGGGUCCUUGAGCUGCUUAGGAUUUCGAGGAUUAUGGAACGGAAAAGCAAUAAAAGAUGAUAUGCAUGGAUGAUAUAUGUAUAACAUUCCAAAUUGAAAAUUUGGGAUGUUACAAAGAUAAUAAACACAAAGCUCUUGCUCAACUAGACAAAAUAACAAGUAACACCUGAUUCUAUUUUUGCUACUGAACACUUGCUUGCCGGGAAUGCACGAAGGUGAUUGCAUUUCUUGAGCAAUGAAAGCAUGUAUUAGGGAGUGAAAGUUAUGCAAAGACAACAUCAUUCUAGAGUAACUCUAACUCACCCACAAGUGUCUCAUCAUCAAGGCUCUCAUGAACUUUAUUUAAAUCAUUGCUUGUUGAAUCUUUUGGUGUCUAGUGAUGGGAUGCCAAUGAAAGGAUCAAAAAUAAGGUUUUGUUGUGCUUUAAGUUUGAGUAAUAUGAACAAAUAUGUUGCGACUACGUACGCUAACAUACUCACAGCCGAAAUCGGAGUCGACACUCUAGUGGAUCGUUCAUUGUCUAGUGGAGUUCUCAGCAUUACAUUAAGAAAGGUGAAAUUCACAUUUACAUGCCUACACGUGCAUGGAGUAGUAAGACCAUUACACCAGCGUGAAGCUGAAUUGCCAUGUACGAAUAUAGCAAAGGUUUUUGGCAUAAUAUCAUCCACCUUUCAACUAAGUUUCUUUGGAAAAAAUUUAUCCACAAGGGCUAUAGAGUCUAUUAAAAUUGACACUAUGGGGUUAGGUAUCUCUAACAACAUCUUCGAUAAAAGUAUUUUCAACACCCAAGUCUUGUGAGACUUUCUGUUGUGCAUGGUUAUUCUUUGUUAACAUAUCAAUUUAUUUUAAUAGCCUGAUUUUCAUGGAUUAAUUCAGAAAGUUACAAAUACAUAUUUUUUUCUCCGGUGCCCUGAGCCAUUCAAUGUUCGUAUUAUUAUAUGAAAUUUAAUGUGCAUGGAAAUGACCUCUAAAAUGUAACUUUGGCCCAUAAUAUUUUUGUUAUGUAAGGAUACAAGUCAAUAUGGCAAUUAGAUUAUACCAAAACUAGGAAGAAACCAUUAAUACGAAAAAUGUUAAAGGGGCAAGAAUCAUUGUGCAUUCGCAACUCUUUAUAAACACCGGUGCUAGAAAUAUACGUUCAGAGAAGGAAAACAUCAAGAGAAAAUAAACACCGGUGCUGGAAAGAUACGUUCAGAGAAGGACAACAUCAAGAGAAAAUAAGUAAUAGCAAGGCAGUCUUGAUGAUGGCACUUAUCAAGAACAAGACACGCAUUCUCUUUUGUGUUGCUCUUUUGUUGACGCGUACCACUUUUCUGUGUGGCCUAGCAGCAGCGGGGAGGGACGUCGGUAAUUUCCAAAUUAGUUUCCUAGAUGAGUUUCUUGAUAUAAAACAAACCCACAUGAUUACGUAUCAUUCUUUCCAUACAUAUUAAUUUGUAUGUUGUGGUGCUUCCUUCAUUGUGUUUAGGUACCAAGGCUGCAUUUGGAAUCCAAUGUUUUACUUACUCAGUGUUCAUGGACUCAUAUCAGUAUGCCAUUGAUUGCUGCAAGAAGGAGUGCAAAAUACUUGGUUAUGACGGCCAGAAAGGCUUCUGCAAGAAGGUGAAUCAUGGCGUGUGUUGUUGUGCCUAAAGCUAAAGACAUGUUAUAUUGUCAUUUUGUAGAAAAUCAUUGCAUGUAUUUGCCUUUCAGGAUACUAAUUUAUAUGGAUUAUACGAGAAUUUCAAUAACAUAUGCUGGUAGUUGCUUCCGAA